GACGAACGCUGGCGGCGUGCCUAAUACAUGCAAGUCGAACGAACCGCGACUGAGUGCUUGCACUAAGUCAAGGUGAGUGGCGAACGGGUGAGUAACACGUGGGUAACCUACCUCAUAGUGGGGGAUAACAGUCGGAAACGACUGCUAAUACCGCAUAGGACAUAGGACCACAUGAUCCAGUGAGGAAAGGUGGCGCAAGCUAUCGCUAAGAGAUGGACCCGCGGUGCAUUAGCUAGUUGGUAGGGUAAAGGCCUACCAAGGCGAUGAUGCAUAGCCGACCUGAGAGGGUGAUCGGCCACAUUGGGACUGAGACACGGCCCAAACUCCUACGGGAGGCAGCAGUAGGGAAUCUUCCGCAAUGGACGCAAGUCUGACGGAGCAACGCCGCGUGAGUGAAGAAGGUCUUCGGAUCGUAAAGCUCUGUUGUUAGAGAAGAACAGCGCAUAGAGUAACUGUUAUGCGUGUGA
rnacentral:rRNA from 1 species